GAUGAAGAACGCAGCGAAAUGCGAUAAGUAAGGUGAAUUGCAGAAUUCAGUGAAUCAUCGAAUCUUUGAACGCACAUUGCGCCCCCUGGUAUUCCGGGGGGCAUGCCUGGCCGAGCGUCAUUACAACCCUCAAGCUCAGCUUGGUGUUGGGCCCCGCCGCCCCGGCGGGCCCUAAAGUCAGUGGCGGUGCCGUCCGGCUCCGAGCGUAGUAAUUCUUCUCGCUCUGGAGGUCCGGUCGUGUGCUCGCCAGCAACCCCCAAUUUUUUUCAGGUUGACCUCGGAUCAGGUAGGGAUACCCGCUGAACUUAAGCAUAUCAAUAAGCGGAGGA
rnacentral:misc_RNA from 1 species